CUGUAUAAUCCCUGCGGGGNAAGAUUUAUCGCUAUUAGAUGAGCCUAUGUUAGAUUAGCUAGUUGGUAGGGUAAAGGCCUACCAAGGCAGUGAUCUAUAGCUGGUCUGAGAGGAUGAUCAGCCACACUGGAACUGAGAUACGGUCCAGACUCCUACGGGAGGCAGCAGUGGGGAAUAUUGGACAAUGGGCGCGAGCCUGAUCCAGCUAUGCCGCGUGAGUGAGGAAGGCCUUAGGGUUGUAAAACUCUUUCAGUGGGGAAGAUAAUGACGGUACCCACAGAA
rnacentral:rRNA from 1 species